AUUUAUGCUUCUAUUGGUUUAGAAAAUCGAAUCCACACUGAGAACGAGCUAUUUGGGAAUCAUAAUGCCGGCGGCGGGAGCGGGAGCGGGAACUGGCGACUUUUCACCUUUCAUUGUCAGGAAAUUCAUAUAGAAAAUUACCUCGUUGGUAGUUUCCCAGCACUAGCUCGACGAUAUUUCAUCGUUAUUUCCCUCUAAUUGCUGAAAUAGUUUAACAGUAGUUAGUUUUAAAUUUUGUUGUUGAUGUUGUGAAUUAGGUUUCGGAAUUGAAGUCUGUAAGUUGAUAAAAGGUUUGGGGAUGUAGAGAGAAAGGAAUGUUUAGAAUUACAAAACAAAAUAUAGAGCAAAAGCUGAUAAAAUGUUGGGAAGAAAACCUCUGUAAAUGAAGGGUAGCCUUGAGGUUGAGGAUUAAGUUAGGAUAGUGAAGCAGAGUAAUCAUGAUAUCGAAACCUUUUUCGCUGGUUAGGCUAUGCAUUAAUCGAUCGAAAGCAAGGAUGUAGAAUGUGAAAAGAACAAAGGUGCUUGGACUUCCAAAUUGUGAAAGCGAACCAACUGUAUGUAGAUCAGAUCAAAAUGGCUUUCAAGAUACAGAAUAUAGUAUGCCUUUUGAUGCCAUCAUAUUCAUAUCCAAUCUCCUAAGGAGAGCAAAAACAAAUCAAUGUAGAAAAUACACUCGUCGAAUCCAAUAACUAUAGAAUUGCAAGCUUCUUUUCUCUGUAUAGCCAACAGAAUAAUCAAGAGGUUCAAUUCACUCAACCAAAUAUACACACUCUUAUUCAUGUAAGGUUUUCAUUUUGGUUACUUUAGUUAUCUAAGAGCUGCAGGAAUUUGAUGAAAAGGGCAUUAAUAAGUGUUGGGAAUUGGUAACAGCAGCAUAUUGCCAAGUUAGAAAUGUAACAUUUGAGUAGCUACUGUAUAUUUAUAAAUGUUGAAGAACAGUAUAUAUUAUUAAACACAUUGAUUAUUAUUACUAUUAUUAUUAUGCAUCUAUGGAGAACAGUAUAAUUGACGAGUACAAAUCUGAGAUUUGGAGACAAUCCAACUAAACUCAAAAGUUUGGCUACACAAAUAAAAUUGAA